rnacentral:rRNA from 1 species
ACCACAAUUACUUGGAUAACUGUGGUAAUUCUAGAGCUAAUACAUGCAAACAGAGCUCUGACCGGAGACGGGAGGAGUGCUUUUAUUAGAUCAAAACCAAUCGGCAGCGGUAGCGUUUCGGCGUUAUCGUUCGUCGCUCAAUAAAUGGUGAAUCUGAAUAACUUUAUGCUGAUCGCAUGGUCUUGUACCGGCGACGCAUCUUUCAAAUGUCUGCCUUAUCAACUGUCGAUGGUAGGAUCUGCGCCUACCAUGGUUGUAACGGGUAACGGGGAAUCAGGGUUCGAUUCCGGAGAGGGAGCCUGAGAAACGGCUACCACAUCCAAGGAAGGCAGCAGGCGCGCAAAUUACCCACUCCCGGCACGGGGAGGUAGUGACGAAAAAUAACGAUACGGGACUCAUCCGAGGCCCCGUAAUCGGAAUGAGUACACUUUAAAUCCUUUAACGAGGACCAAUUGGAGGGCAAGUCUGGUGCCAGCAGCCGCGGUAAUUCCAGCUCCAAUAGCGUAUAUUAAAGUUGUUGCGGUUAAAAAGCUCGUAGUUGAAUUUGUGUCCCGCACUGUCGGUUCACCGCCCGCGGUGCUAACUGGCAUGUUUGCGGGACGUCCUGCCGGUGGAUGUAAGUGGGAGACUUCGGUCUUUCACACAUCCGACUUAUAAAUCCUGUCGCGGUGCUCUUAACUGAGUGUCGAGGCGGGCCGGCACGUUUACUUUGAACAAAUUAGAGUGCUCAAAGCAGGCUAAUUAAUGCCUGAAUAAUUAGUGCAUGGAAUAAUGGAACAGGACCUUGGUUCUAUUUUGUUGGUUUUCGGAACCCCAAGGUAAUGAUUAAUAGGGACAGAUGGGGGCAUUCGUAUUGCGACGUUAGAGGUGAAAUUCUUGGAUCGUCGCAAGACGGACUAAAGCGAAAGCAUUUGCCAAAGAUGUUUUCAUUAAUCAAGAACGAAAGUCAGAGGUUCGAAGGCGAUCAGAUACCGCCCUAGUUCUGACCAUAAACGAUGCCAGCUAGCGAUCCGCCAAAGUUCCUCCGAUGACUUGGCGGGCAGCUUCCGGGAAACCAAAGCUUUUGGGUUCCGGGGGAAGUAUGGUUGCAAAGCUGAAACUUAAAGGAAUUGACGGAAGGGCACCACCAGGAGUGGAGCCUGCGGCUUAAUUUGACUCAACACGGGAAACCUCACCAGGCCCAGACACUGGAAGGAUUGACAGAUUGAGAGCUCUUUCUUGAUUCAGUGGGUGGUGGUGCAUGGCCGUUCUUAGUUG